rnacentral:tRNA from 3 species
GGGGGGAUGGCGCAGUUGGGAGCGCGUUAGACUGAAGAUCUAAAGGUCGCUGGUUCGAUCCCGGCUCACCCCA